rnacentral:rRNA from 1 species
CACGCCCUAAACGAUGUCAACUAGGUGUUGGAAGGGUUAAACCUUUUAGUGCCGUAGCUAACGCGUGAAGUUGACCGCCUGGGGAGUACGGCCGCAAGGCUAAAACUCAAAGGAAUUGACGGGGACCCGCACAAGCGGUGGAUGAUGUGGUUUAAUUCGAUGCAACGCGAAAAACCUUACCCACCUUUGACAUGGUCGGAACCCUUUAGAGAUAGAGGGGUGCUCGAAAGAGAGCCGAUACACAGGUGC